UCCUUUCUUCAAAACGGGAGACGGCCUCAUACAGCUGUAUGAAAACUUCAUCAGUGACUUCGAACACAGAAUCAACCCCCUGUCUCUGGUAGAAAUCAUCCUUUAUGUCGCAAGGCAGAUGCCAGAUCCUAAAAAUGCCAUCACUUUUCUGGAGAAGACCAAAGAGAAGGUGAAAAGCAGUGAAGAAGCCGUGAUUCUCUGCAAGACGUCCAUCGGCAGGCUGAAGCUGGAGAUCAGCGACCUUCCUGCCACCAAG